rnacentral:lncRNA from 1 species
AAGAACUUCCUGACAGUAAGAGCUGUUCGACAGUGGAAUUUGCUGCCAAGGAGUGUGGUGGAGUCUCCUUCUUUGGAGGUCUUUAAGCAGAGGCUUGACAACCAUAUGUCAGGAGUGCUCUGAUGGUGUUUCCUGCUUGGCAGGGGGUUGGACUCGAUGGCCCUUGUGGUCUCUUCCAACUCUAUGAUUCUAUGAUUCUAGGUUUCCCAGAGUUCACUGUACCUGAGGUGAGAGUCACCUGCAUUUCAACUGUGCUGCUUUAGGUAAGUUCACAUUCCACCACUCACUGGUCUGUUUUCAAGACAAUUUUUUUUGUAUUUUCCUCUCCUUUUUCUCAUUUUCUUUUCUGCUGGUCUCUUCACAGGUCUCUCCAAAGAGCUCAUCUUAACAUCAAAAGGUGUUUUUUUUUCCUGAGAGAACAUUCGCAGAAUGUUCCCUCAGGUUUUGCUUUUCACCUUGUUGCAUUGCUUAAAAAAAAAAAAGCAAAAGACACUGGUGGUCGGCACUCCUGGUUCCCAGGAUGGGGUUCAAAUCCCUGUGGUGUCCUUGCUAACUUCCAAUGCAACCAUCAUGCCCCUCUAUUCUUCCCUAUAUCCCUAACUUCCCAAAGUAUUAGCAUGGGAGGAUUUUUGGGUAGUGAUUUCAGUGAAUAAGCUUGGUUCUGAACUCUGUCAAGGCAUCAUAGGACCAAGUCAAGCAACCUUUGUACAGUGCCUGCUGCUCUAACGAUGCUCCCCUGAUGCACCACCGGCUGGAUCAUGUGGGUGCUUCCUAUCCUAGCAUCCCAGGUAUGUAUGUAUUUAAUUUCUAUACGGCUUUAUAUUUUUAAGAAAAAUCUCAAAGCGGUUUACAGAAUAUUAAAACAUCAGUAAAACAAUCUGAAGAAAGUCAAAUAUAGGGUAUAUUCUGUCAGAUUUUAAAAAUGAGAUGCUGACACAAAUGCAAAAGCAGAAUGAAAAGGUUGUAACGGAAUUGGGGAAGAACACAAAGAUGGUCACAGAAAUGUCUAGCAAAUUAGAAGCUUUGGACAUUUCUGCGUAAAACUUGGGAAAACUGAAAAAGAGAACAAAGAAAUUAGAGGGUAACAAGAGAUAAUAAGGGGGAUAUGAGAGGUUUAGCUGGCAGACAGGAUAAAUUUGAGGAUUGUCUUGCGGUCUUAGAGAUUAGAUAAAAAUCUAAUGUUCUGCAAAUAAGAGGCCUUCCAGAGGCAGAGGGGGAACAGGUUCUUUAAAAAUACAUAGCCAAGACAAUUGCGGAUUGGUUGGGAGAGGAACAGGAGUAUGUGGAAGGAUCUAUGGACAGUUGCUACAGGGUCCAGUAUAAAGGCUAAGAAACAGUCUGGAGACUGUUUGGUAACUUUUAACUCUAAGAAAUUGAAGGAUGCUAUAGUCCAGAACAAUUAUGAAAACAGACUUGAGGUGGACGGAAACCCUGUAGCUAUGUUUAGAGAGAUACCUCCCCGUUUGCUUCAAAACGUCUUGAUUAGAGUCAAUAUUAAAUUUGGACAGGAAUUCCCAGAAGGAAUUUCCUUUACAUACAAGAAAAAAAUAUAUAGAUUGGUAAAUGAAGAGCAGGCACAGGAAUUCUGGCUAAGACAUGGCAGAGAUUUUGACAACCCAUACACUCCACAGGACCCAAUGGGAGCAGUAGGAGGGGCAGGGGAAGGAGCAAUGGGGGGUGUAGAUAAUUUAGAUAACCAAGACAACACAAAACUUUAGACAAGACUUUAGGGGGAAAGACACAAGCAAACAUAAUGGCAGACCUCUAGGUACUGAGUUGGAAUGUAAAUGGUCUAAACAGUAAAGUAAAAAGGAAUAAUGUCAUGAAUACACCGGCUCCCAGGGAAGAAGUACAGGCAGAGGGAGAAGGCAGACAGGAAGAGAGGGGGUUAAAUGCAGGACUAGAUGAGUACAAUCAGGAGUCCUGUCCCCAACCCUCAGGAAUGUAGACUGGAAACAGCCCUGAUGGCAGACAGACAGCCGUUUGCCAACCGACCAGUGGAGUUCAAAUUACAGAGAUGCAUAGCAGCUGCAGCUCAGAGAGGGGGAACGAAGAUGGAAGCUCCAUGUCUGGGAAUGAGGAAGGGGAGGGGGCUGACCCCCUUAGCCCCCACUCUCGUCAAAUAGGCGGCCUUCAGGACAGAUCACAUCACAAGUGGAGGCUGGGCUGCUUUUGGUUUCGCUGGAAGAAGCCUCCUCAGUAGGAACAUCUUCACUGAUGGAUGGACGGCAGCGUUCACUGCUCCAUGCACUCUGUUGGUUUUUUGCAAUAAAUCUUUUCUAAUUAACCACGCUCAUGGGGAGGUUAGUGCUACUCUAGUAUGAAUUUUUGUGCUUUUAUAUUGUAAACCGCACUGUGCUCUUCGAAUGAAGGGCAGUAUAGGAAGAAGAAGAAGAAGAAGAAUGCUCUGGUGUAGAUUCACUCUCUGUUUAGACAAUGGUUGUCAGGGUUGGGAAGUGUAUGAGCAAACAUUGGGAUGGCUCCAGAAGACUUGCGAUGAAUAGUGUUGCCCUCAUGCCAAACACCAGUGGAGGAAGUGGGAAGAUCAUUUUCAAUUAUUCCUCCUUCCCCAAGUAGCCCCUGCCCUUGUGACAUGGCCGUCUUUACCUGGGGGUGCUAGGGGUGCAUUACCCCCGGGUGCCAAAUUCUGUGGGGUGCCCGCCUCUGAAGCCGCCUAAGCUGUUAACCGCAACCGCCGGGUGAUUGCGUUCGAUGGCUCAUUUCCGGUCUCUAUUGCGAAAUAGCUGCACAAUCAACAUAUCCAGGGGCGCGCCCCUAGUGGUGUCUUUCAUUUUAGCAUGAUUGCAAAAAUGGAAAGGGGGCGGUAUUGCAGCUGUUUUUUACUUUUUCAUGUUAGUGCAUAGGUUUUCCAAGCUUAAACUCCUACAGAAGUGUGAAAGGCUUUCCCUCCCCAUCAUUAUUUUCACAUGUGUGGUUUAUAGCCACAUCUCUUUCAGAUGCAAACUAGGGGCAAUCAGGAAAGGAUCAGCUUCAUUUGCAUUUGUGUUUUAUUAAAAAAAAAAACCAUGCCUGCCUACAAAAGGGUGUGUUUUGAGACAGUCCUGUGGAUAUUUCUUCCUUCCCAUGACUAGCUGGCAAACAAUUCCUCUUUGCUACACCAUGGUUGGUUGGUUUUUUUUCCUGAAAGAAAAUAAUAAUAUGUUCCCAGUUGCAUAUCUCUGCUAGUGCAGUUGCUGUUUGCUUUAAACAAUUUUCUUGGAUUUCAGUUUUGCCUCAUGUUUUCCUUUGGGACUGAGACACAAACAGGUUUGUGUGAUUAAAAACCAUUUGUAUAAAGAUAAUCCUGGAUUAAAUUAUAUCUGAUUUCUUCAUAUCUUAUCAGCAGGGAUUUAACCAAGUGCCACUCAAUAGGAUUAUCAAAAUAUUUUAAAGUUUCCAGGUAUCCUUCAUUCAACAUCUGUGAUGCAGGAGCUGUAAAAUCUUUCCCCCUAGCACUCAGUGCAGAAGCAAAUAUUUCAAAUAUAAAAUAGAUAAUAGAAUGAAAUGAAUUCCACCCCCCCCCCAAAAAAAAAGUCUUUUGUGUGGUUGUUCUCUGAAUAUUCUCUGUGAGUGCAAAUUUGCUAAGCUAUGAACACUUCAGUUGACAGAAUCAGACGAGAAUUUGCAAAGCCUCUGUAUAUCAGAAUAGCUAAAAUCUGACCAGUGCAUUAUUCAGCAUAAGAGAGAUAGGAUUAAAUUCAACCUCCUCUCCCUCUUCUGUCUAUGGUCAAUGUAAUUUCAACUUGUUUGAAAGGGCUCCACAUAAGUAUUGCCAACCAAAAAAGGGAAAUCCCACAAAAUUCCACAUUUAACCUGCUUGGGUAAAUGAUUUUUAAGCAGCUGGGAGUAUGUGCAUCACUGAUUGUUGCAUGUCUGCGGCACUCCUAAAUGGAAUGGGG